AUUCGCGGCCUAUCAGCUUGUUGGUGAGGUAACGGCUCACCAAGGCGACGACGGGUAGCUGGUCUGAGAGGACGAUCAGCCACACUGGGACUGAGACACGGCCCAGACUCCUACGGGAGGCAGCAGCAGGGAAUUUUGCACAAUGGGCGCAAGCCUGAUGCAGCGACGCCGCGUGGGGGAUGAAUGCCUUCGGGUUGUAAACCCCUUUCAGGAGGGACGAAGCGAAAGUGACGGUACCUCCAGAAGAAGCCCCGGCCAACUACGUGCCAGCAGCCGCGGUAAUACGUAGGGGGCGAGCGUUGUCCGGAUUUAUUGGGCGUAAAGAGCUCGUAGGCGGCUCAACAAGUCGGCCGUGAAAGCCUGAGGCUCAACCUCAGGACGCCGGUCGAAACUGUUGUGGCUAGGAUUCGGUAGAGGAGAGUGGAAUUCCCGGUGUAGCGGUGAAAUGCGCAGAUAUCGGGAGGAACACCAGUAGCGAAGGCGGCUCUCUGGGCCGACACCGACGCUGAGGAGCGAAAGCUAGGGGAGCAAACAGGAUUAGAUACCCUGGUAGUCCUAGCCGUAAACGUUGGGCACUAGGUGUGGCGGAUUCAUUGACAUCUGCCGUGCCGUAGCUAACGCAUUAAGUGCCCCGCCUGGGGAGUACGGAAU
rnacentral:rRNA from 1 species